UCAUUUUAUUAUCAUCACUCACGGUUCUAGGGUCGGCUGAGCUCAGCGAGGCUAUCCUUUCUCGGGGACUUUGACGAAGUUACACUGAGAUGGUGCUUGGGCUGGAGCCAUCCUGUGGCUCAGCUCGUGUGCCUGGAGAAGGCUGUGACUUUACACCUUUACACCUAUGUAUAUGGUCUCUCUGUGUGGUCCUUCUGUUUCCUCAUGGCUUGGUGACAAAGCUUGAAGAAAACCAGGAAAAGAAAUGUAUGCGGACGCUCUGCUAGAGCCCAUCCUGAGACCUCAGAAAGAACCUGCGAGGGAGAGAACCUGAAUGGGAGCCCCGCCUCAGAACACUCAGCUCAACUCCCCAGCUCAACUUCAUGUUUUUGAGCUACCUGCAGGUUUGCCUACAGCUAGAGCAAUUACAACGACAUGUCACAUCUUAUGAACAUGCCACUCUCUAUCAGCUUACUGUCCAUGGAUUUGGGUUUCUUUCCGGUUCAUCACUGUUAGAAAAACGUCUGCAGUCCAUGCCCCCCCCUUCUGUGCACACAGCCAAGAGUUUUUCUAUAUUAGAUUCGUGGAAGUGGAACGUUGAGAUCUCAGGGCAUGAACAUUUUCAACUGGAUUGAGUAGCACGAGUGGGUUUCCAGGGCAGUUGAACCGAUUUCCACUCCCAUCAGCUGUCUCUGUGAGAGUUCCUGUGGUAGCUCAUCCUCACCAAUAUGUUACCUGUUUUCAUGAUCCAUAAAAAUAAGGGUCAGAAUGACAUACCUCUGUAUUUUUUUCUUUAUAUAAAGCUAACCACAGAGCAGAUGCUUGAUAAAAAUUCUCUGGUUGCUUGAUUUUGGAGACUACAUUCUAGAAAAUUCAAGGCUCCUAUGCUUAAAC